GCCCCAGUGGCCUAAUGGAUAAGGCACUUGCCUCCUAAGCCAGGGAUUGUGGGUUCAAGUCCCAUCUGGGGUG
rnacentral:tRNA from 1 species